CAAACAGGGUAUGGAACUUGGUUCCUCGAAUAACUUCUGGCACAGACAUCUGAGGGCAUGACCGUCCAAGAAGAAAAUGUAGCCAUUGGUGCCAUCUAUCGACCACAGGUUAAAGAUUGGCGAUCCGUUGGAUACCGACCGAGUUAUAGGCAAAACUUGGUGCAAAAAUGAGCCUAGGAGAUAGGCAAUAUAGAUUUUUUUGUUAUUUUAUUACAAUUUUUUCAAUCUUUUUCAAUUUAAAGCAUUAUUUGAGUGAAAAGAAUCUUAUUUGAACCAAUUGGCAUUAAAAUAAAUCAAUUUAAUUUUUUUUGCAAAAUUUCUCAAAAAAAUGGCAAGGGGUACCCCUUAUGAAAUUUUCGGGUUGAAAAUUUUUUUUUAAUUUUUUUCUGAUUUUUUAUUCUUUUUUUAAUUUAAAGCAUUAUUUGAGCGAAAAGAAACUUAUUGCAACAAAUUCCCAUUAAAUUGUAUCACAUUUAUAAAAAUGAGGAAAAUUUUCAUUUUCUCAAACAGGGUAUGGAACUUGGUUCCUCGAAUAACUUCUGGCACAGACAUCUGAGGGCAUGGCCGUCCAAGAAGAAAAUGUAGCCAUUGGUGCCAUCUAUCGAUCACAGGUUAAAGAUUGGCGAUCCGUUGGAUACCGACCGAGUUAUAGGCAAAACUUGGUGCAAAAAUGAGCCUAGGAGAUAGGCAAUAUAGAUUUUUUUAUUAUUUUAUUACAAUUUUUCAAUCUUUUUCAAUUUAAAGCAUUAUUUGAGUGAAAAGAAUCUUAUUUGAACCAAUUGGCAUUAAAAUAAAUCAAUUUAUUUUUUUUUGCAAAAUUUCUCAAAAAAAUGGCAAGGGGAACCCCUUAUGAAAUUUUCGGGUUGAAAAUUUUUUUAAAAAUUUUUUCUGAUUUUUUAUUCUUUUUUUAAUUUAAAGCAUUAUUUGAGCGAAAAGAAACUUAUUGCAACAAAUUCCCAUUAAAUUGUAUCACAUUUAUAAAACUGAGGAAAAUUUUACAUUUUCUCAAACAGGGUAUGGAACUUGGUUCCUCGAAUAACUUCUGGCACAGACAUCUGAGGGCAUGGCCGUCCAAGAAGAAAAUGUAGCCAUUGGUGCCAUCUAUCGACCACAGGUUAAAGAUUGGUGAUCCGUUGGAUACCGACAGAGUUAUAGGCAAAACUUGAUGCAGAAAUGUGUAAAAUUUUACAUUUUCUCAAACAGGGUAUGGAACUUGGUUCCUCGUAUAAAUUCUGGCACAGACAUCUGAGGGCAUGGCCGUCCAAGAAGAAAAUGUAGCCAUUGGUGCCAUCUAUCGACCACAGGUUAAAGAUUGGCGAUCCGUUGGAUACCGACCGAGUUAUAGGCAAAACUUGGUGCAAAAAUGAGCCUAGGAGAUAGGCAAUAUAGAUUUUUUUAUUAUUUUAUUACAAUUUUUCAAUCUUUUUCAAUUUAAAGCAUUAUUUGAGUGAAAAGAAUCUUAUUUGAACCAAUUGGCAUUAAAAUAAAUCAAUUUAAUUUUUUUUGCAAAAUUUCUCAAAAAAUGGCAAGG